ACUCUUCGGAGUGAGAGCGUACACAGGUGCUGCAUGGCUGUCGUCAGCUCGUGUCGUGAGAUGUUGGGUUAAGUCCCGCAACGAGCGCAACCCUUGCAUUCAGUUGCCAUCGGUAAGGCCGGGCACUCUGGAUGGACUGCCGGCGACAAGCCGGAGGAAGGUGGGGACGACGUCAAGUCAUCAUGGCCCUUAUGUCCAGGGCGACACACGUGCUACAAUGGCCGGCACAACGGGAAGCGAAGGGGCGACCCUGAGCGGAUCCCACAAAAGCCGGUCUCAGUUCGGAUUGCAGUCUGCAACUCGACUGCAUGAAGUUGGAAUCGCUAGUAAUCGUGGAUCAGCCAAGCCGCGGUGAAUACGUUCCCGGGCCUU
rnacentral:rRNA from 1 species